rnacentral:rRNA from 1 species
GACGAACGCUGGCGGCGUGCUUAACACAUGCAAGUCGAACGGAAAGGCCCUGCUUUUGUGGGGUGCUCGAGUGGCGAACGGGUGAGUAACAUGUGAGUAACCUGCCCUUGACUUUGGGAUAACUUCAGGAAACUGGGGCUAAUACCGGAUAGGAGCUCCUGCUGCAUGGUGGGGGUUGGAAAGUUUCGGCGGUUGGGGAUGGACUCGCGGCUUAUCAGCUUGUUGAUGGGGUAGUGGCUUACCAAGGCUUUGACGGGUAGCCGGCCUGAGAGGGUGACCGGCCACAUUGGGACUGAGAUACGGCCCAGACUCCUACGGGAGGCAGCAGUGGGGAAUAUUGCACAAUGGGCGGAAGCCUGAUGCAGCAACGCCGCGUGCGGGAUGACGGCCUUCGGGUUGUAAACCGCUUUCGCCUGUGACGAAGCGUGAGUGACGGUAAUGGGUAAAGAAGCACCGGCUAACUACGUG